rnacentral:rRNA from 1 species
GACGACGCUGGCGGCGUGCCUAACACAUGCAAGUCGAGCGGGGUUGAAGCGAGAGGUAACUCGAGUUUCUACCUAGCGGCGGACGGGUGAGUAACGCGUGGGCAACCUGCCUCAAGGUCUGGGAUAACAGCCCGAAAGGGCUGCUAAUACCGGGUAUGCUUGUGGCCUCGCAUGGGGCUAUGAGCAAAGGGGAAACCCGCCUUGAGAUGGGCCCGCGUCCCAUCAGCUAGUUGGUGAGGUAACAGCUCACCAAGGCGACGACGGGUAGCCGGCCUGAGAGGGUGACCGGCCACACUGGGACUGAGACACGGCCCAGACUCCUACGGGGGGCAGCAGUGGGGGAUCUUGCACAAUGGGCGAAAGCCUGAUGCAGCGACGCCGCGUGAGCGAAGAAGGCCUUCGGGUUGUAAAGCUCUGUCUGGAGGGACGAAGGAAGUGACGGUACCUCCGGAGGAAGCCACGGCUAACUACGUG